rnacentral:rRNA from 1 species
GACGAACGCUGGCGGCGUGCCUAAUACAUGCAAGUUGAGCGAUGAAGCUUGGUGCUUGCACCCAUUUGAAGAGCAGCGAACGGGUGAGUAACGCGUGGGUAAUCUGCCUUUGAGCGGGGGACAACAUUUGGAAACGAAUGCUAAUACCGCAUAACAACUUUAAACAUAAGUUUUAAGUUUGAAAGAUGCAAUUGCAUCACUCAAAGAUGAUCCCGCGUUGUAUUAGCUAGUUGGUGAGGUAAAGGCUCACCAAGGCGAUGAUACAUAGCCGACCUGAGAGGGUGGACGGCCACAAUGGGACUGAGACAAGGCCCAAAAUCCUUACGGAAGGAGCCAUAGGGGAAUAUCGGACAUGGAGGGAAGGCUGACCGAAGCACGCCGGGGGAGGGGAGGAAGUUCUCGGGUCGGAAAACUCUGUUGGUAGAGAAGAAAGAUGGUGAGAGUGGAAAGCUCAUCAAGUGACGGUAACUAACCAGAAAGGGACGGCUAACUACGUG